GCCCCUGCGGCGUAAUGGUUUGAGCAUUGGAUUAGGACUCUGGAGACAAGGGUUCAAGUCCCGGCUCAGGCA